CCCUUAGAUGUUCUGGGCUGCACGCGCGCUACACUGAUGCGAUCAACAAGUUUUUCCUAUGUCGAUAGACACGGGUAAUCUUUUGAACUCGCAUCGUGAUGGGGAUAGAUUAUUGUAAUUAUUAAUCUUCAACGAGGAAUUCCUAGUAGGUGCAAAUCAUCAGUUUGCAUCGAUUACGUCCCUGCCCUUUGUACACACCGCCCGUCGCUGCUACCGAUUGGUUGAUCUGGUGAAUUAUUCGGACUGCCGGCUGAAGGGGUUUCCUCAUCUGCCAGCGGAAAGUCUUGUUAACCCUAUCAUCUAGAGGAAGCAGAAGUCGUAACA
rnacentral:rRNA from 1 species